GGGGACAGCAUAUAUGGUUCAGACUACAAACUGCUUCUGUGUGACUAAGAAGAAUCAGAAUAAAGAGAAACAUACUCUCUUCCGAAGAUUAGGCAGGAGGAGCUCUAGAAUUUCACAAAGGUGCUGUCAGGACACAUGAAAAUCUGGGGAAAAAGACAGGCUUGAAGAGACCAAAAAGAAGAAAGCCUGCCAAUCACAUCCUCCAAGGAUUCUGAGACACACACACCCCUGGUGUAGGGGGAACAUCACCUGAAAGGUGACACCCACUCUAAGGAAUAUAAGUACCAGCUAAAAAGGACACACACUUGAAGAAAAAGGAGACAAUGAGGUCUUGUGAAUGCUCUAAUUUUUCAAAGCUUACUUUUAAUGAUGGUUCUUAAACGCUUUAACCUCCCUUCUAGUCCACCACCCACCAAAGGUAGUGGGAAAGAAAGGUGAUUAGGAUACAGGCAAAGUGAACCUGUUCAGAAAUGGUUCUUUGGUGCACAACCUAGCAGGAACAUCCAGGUCUCAGUGGAAUCAGCUC
ensembl:processed_transcript pluripotency associated transcript 14